rnacentral:rRNA from 1 species
CCUACGGGAGGCAGCAGCGACGAAUCUUCCGCAAUGGACGAAAGUCUGACGGAGCAAUGCCGCGUGCAGGAUGAAGCACUUCGGUGUGUAAACUGCUGUCAGGGUUUAACAACACAAUGAGUAAACCCCAGAGGAAGGGGCGGCUAACUCUGUGCCAGCAGCCGCGGUAAUACAGAGGCCCCGAGCGUUACGCGGUGUCAUUGGGCUUAAAGGGUGCGUAGGCGGAAGCGAAAGUGUCCUGUGAAAUCCCACGGCUCAACCGUGGAAUAGCGGGGCAUACUCCGUUUCUUGAGGCCGGUAAGGGUUGCUGGAACUGUAGGUGUAGCGGUGAAAUGCGUAGAUAUCUACAGGAACGCCGAUGGUGAAGACGAGCAACUGGGCCGGUUCUGACGCUGAGGCACGAAAGCGUGGGGAUCAAACAGGAUUAGAUACCCUGGUAGUCCACGACGUAACGAUGUGCACUAGAGUACCGGGUACGGUUACGUCGACCGACCCCCGGGUACCGGUACGUAAACGUACACUAACGUAGCACCGCCGUCGGGUAGGUACGGUCGCGAGGACGUAAACGUACAAGAAGUAGACGGCGUGAGACGUACGCCGACGGACGACGACGAGGGAGGUAGG